AUGUCUGCCUUAGCGUUCAAAGUGAAAAGCAAAAAUGGUCAACAAGUACUAAAAGAUUUGACCUCUAAUAGUACAGUGGGUGAACUAAAAAUGUUUCUGUCUAGUUUAACGGACGUUAGUUGCGAGAGGAUUUGUGUGUUGUGCGGCUAUCCACCGAAGCCUAUCGACACCAGUGAUGACAAUAAGAAACUAAGUGAUAUAGGAUUGAAAACUGGGGAAACCUUGAUAAUUGAAGAGAAAACGGCUCCAGCGGCACCAGCUCAACCUAGUAAACCCGCCAAACCCGUAGAGAAUGGCGUGGUUUCACAUGAAACAAUAGGGCCUUGCAGACCUGGUAUUCUAAUGAAGAAAGUAGUGCCAUCUGACAAUUCGUGUCUUUUUACUAGUAUAGGUUUUGUAUUAAAUGGCAAUGUUGACACAAGUGUGCAUACAUUGAUGCGUCAGAUCAUAGCGAUGGAGGUAGCCAGCGAUGUGGAGACGUACAGUGAGGCGAUGCUUGGCCGGCCAAACGCUGAAUACUGUGUCUGGAUACAACAGCCCAGUUCCUGGGGUGGUGCUAUAGAAGUAGCGAUUCUGUCCCGUUUCUAUGGUCUGGAGAUGGCUGUGGUAGACACUUUAAAUGCUAUAAUCAACAGAUUUGGUGAAGACAAAAACUAUGGGCAGAGGGUGUUCCUUUUAUUCGACGGAGUGCAUUACGAUCCAUUGUAUUUAGAACAAUCUGAUGGCGGCAUCCAAACGGUGUUUCCAGCAGAAGAUAUGGACAUAUAUAGGGAAGCGGAACAACUGGCCCACGAAGCGAAAUCGUCCCGCCAAUUCACAGAUCUAAACAAAUUCACACUCAAAUGCGUGGUGUGCAACAAAUUACUAACAGGACAGGCCGAGGCUCAGAAGCAUGCGAAAGAAACAAUGCACACGAACUUUGGUGAAGUCUAGCACACAAUAGGACUGUAUAUUUAAUUUAAUUAAUCAACCUUAUUAUGUUGUACGCUAUGCGAUAUUUCUUAGCUUUCUCAACUCUGUGAGUUACUCCAAUAUAUUAUUAUAAUAAUAUAUUUGAACUAUUUUAGUAUUGUAGUACCGUCAGCAAAAACAUCACAAACUGAUUAAUACACUAAAGCGAUGUUCUAAUACAUUUAGUGCCUGAAUUAUGUAGUAUAUGCACUUAUAUAUAUGCUUGGCAUAUUUAGUAAAUAGUAUAGAUAUAUUUUUUAUUGAAAUUGCUCAUCUUUUCUUACCAAUAUAAAAAAUUAAAUAACUAGAAGAUGGCUGUAGAUGUGAGAGUAUAAGAGAAGAAAAAAGAAAAUGAAGUGUCUUAAGACUAAUAGAGGUUAAAAUAAUAUUUUUUUAAGAAAUUUGUCUAUCUGUGUUAAUCUGUGUUUGUUCGGAUACCACAUAAAAGCUAUUUCGUCAAAUUGGAUCCGGUUUUCACAGUUAUGUUUAUAAAGGUGUAAUUUAAAAUAUGGUAUAUUUUUUAUUUCGGUACGCCAUUUAAAAAAGUUCUAUAUGAAUUAUUUAUUAGCUUUUAAAUCCAUGCAUACGAAAUGGCUGGCAAAAAGCUAAUUUAAAAAUAAGAUUAUAAAAAUUCUAGUUAGACAAUAAUACAGUAUCGAUUAACACCUUUUCUCAACGUUUUUUUUUAUUUGCUGAUGGUUCUACCACGUCAAUUCUGUAUAUUUAUUAUAUAAAAUGAAUUUGGUGGUGAAAUAUCGCAUUGGGUACAAAUAUUUUUAUUAUGUAAUCUUUGAUUACUAUAUAAAUGUUACUUGCUAUUAAUAGGCAGAGUAUUUAUUUAUUUCUCUCUUUCACAGUGUAAAGAAUCUCAAAGUGUAUUUCGACCUUAAUAAUUAUAAAUUGACAAUAUAAAAGAGAAAGAGACAUACAAGAGCGAGAAAGCAAGGUGCGAGCAUUCCCUGUACAUUAUAAUAACCUGUAGUGGUUUAAUUAAUUGUUUUUGCGUUUUUAAUUUUUAUUUGAUUUAAGUGUAUAUAGAAUGCAGUACUCGGAUGUAGCAUGAAUUAGAAAUGAAGCCCAUGAAAUUGCAUAUUUUAUGUUAAAACUCUAUGAAUUAAAUCCUUAUGUCCUAAGAAAUUAAAUGCACUUACACGUGCAGUGCAAAGAAAUUUUGUGAAUGAGCUUAAGAGAUUACAGUAUGGGGUUCUUCAAAAUGGAUGUAUUGAGGUUUCUUCAGGGUCGGCAACGGGCACGUGACACCCCUAGUGUUGCAGGCGUCCAUAGAUUACAGUGACCGUUUAUCAUCAGACGGGCUGUAUGCUUGUUUACCACCUUUGUGGUAUAAAAAAGUAAGUUCUCUAACCUAAUAUUUGUCGUAUAUCUUCGUUGGAUACUUCUGAUAGCCUAAGAUCCCACCUUUAAAAUCUGCAGGUAUAAUAUGGUUCCCAGGUGAAAUUAGGUAAAUAUUUUGGUAAAAUCGUUUAACUUGUCAUGCCUUUUGAUGAGAUUUACACCAAACGAAAGAUUAUUCUUUUCUAUAUAUAGAAAAAAAUACGGUAACAUAUGGUUUCCCAUGAAAAAGGUCGCAAGUAAGGGUUGUUGGCAUCUAAAAUUUUGUUUUAGAUGAUGGUGCUAUAGUUAUAGAAAAUUGGUUCCCUUUAAUAAAAUCCAUGCUAAAUUUCUGUUUAGUAUAAUUCUGUGAUACUAUUUUUCUAUACGACAAUAUAGUUUGCCUAUAAAACAUUGGCCGCAAAUAAGUGUUACCACUUGGCGACUCUUACUUCUUAGAACUUCUGUCUUAUCUUCUUACAGACAACCUAAAUGUUUCUUUGAAAAGUCUUAUACCUGCAGAAUUUAGCAGCGGAAUCUCGGGCUAUGAAUGUUUAAUGCGUAAAUUGAGAUUUACACGAUCACCUAUGAGCCGAAGUUCGGCAAUCAAAAUCGGAAUGUUCCAAAAAAUCGAUUAUUCGUUUGAAAAUUUACUAAGCUGUAGUGAUUGCGAUGAUUAUUUUUGCAAUUGGCUGUCCAUAGUUUUUGGCAGCAUCAACGAUUUAUAAAUGUAAAAUUGGUGGUAUCUGUCUUCACGCCAUAUCCUUUAUGGGAUAGGCAGUAUCCAGUGCCAAAGGUAUACUUAUUUGCGAUAAUACGAUUCAUUCUUUGUUAAUGUAAAAAUUACUUAAGUAAUUGUUAUAAUUCUAAUGUAUUUUAUUGAUUCGAUUUAUCACUUUAGGUGUUUAAUGUAAGAUAUAAAUUAUUUGGAACAUAAUGUACGUUCAUGUGUAUUUUUAAAAAAUGAAUCUAAAUUGAUUCUUUGGGCACAAAAUAUAUUAUAAAAAUUGUCACCCUAUUUUUUGCUAUUACUAAAUGUAUAGAUAAUGUCCCAAAUAACUUAAUCUUAUGAUAUUCCAAUAAGGAAAUUUAUUUAAAUCAGUGCGAAAGUGGCGCCACCAACUACGUAAAUAACGGCAAAUAUGUAGUCUGUAGAACUCUACUGAUAAGAGACUAAGAGUGACUUUAAAAAUGAAUUUAUAACGGAGGGAAAGUAUUGUU
rnacentral:misc_RNA from 1 species